GAUGAACGCUGGCGGCGUGCCUAAUACAUGCAAGUCGAGCGAACAGACGAGGAGCUUGCUCCUCUGAUGUUAGCGGCGGACGGGUGAGUAACACGUGGAUAACCUACCUAUAAGACUGGGAUAACUUCGGGAAACCGGAGCUAAUACCGGAUAACAUGUUGAACCGCAUGGUUCAACAGUGAAAGACGGUCUUGCUGUCACUUAUAGAUGGAUCCGCGCCGCAUUAGCUAGUUGGUAAGGUAACGGCUUACCAAGGCAACUAUGCGUAGCCGACCUGAGAGGGUGAUCGGCCACACUGGAACUGAGACACGGUCCAGACUCCUACGGGAGGCAGCAGUAGGGAAUCUUCCGCAAUGGGCGAAAGCCUGACGGAGCAACGCCGCGUGAGUGAAGAAGGUCUUCGGAUCGUAAAACUCUGUUAUUAGGGAAGAACAAAUGUGUAAGUAACUAUGCACGUCUUGACGGUACCUAAUCAGAAAGCCACGGCUAACUACGUG
rnacentral:rRNA from 1 species